rnacentral:rRNA from 1 species
UACAGACGGCGCAAGCGUUAUUCGGAAUGAUUGGGCGUAAAGCGUCUGUAGGUGGUUAUUGAAGUCUACUGUCAAAUCCCAGAGCUCAACUUUGGACAGGCAGUAGAGAACUCAAUAGCUUGAGUACGGUAGGGGUAGAGGGAAUUCCCGGUGAAGCAGUGAAAUGCACAGAGAUCGGGAAGAACACCAGUGGCGAAGGCGCUCUACUGGGCCGUAACUGACACUGAGAGACGACAGCUAGGGGAGCGAAUGGG